rnacentral:rRNA from 1 species
UACAGAGGGUGCAAGCGUUGUUCGGAAUUAUUGGGCGUAAAGCGCGUGUAGGCGGCCUUGCAAGUCGGGUGUGAAAUCCCUCAGCUUAACUGAGGAAGUGCGCCCGAAACUGCUCGGCUCGAGUACCGGAGAGGAUGGCGGAAUUCCCCAAGUAGAGGUGAAAUUCGUAGAUAUGGGGAGGAACACCGGUGGCGAAGGCGGCCAUCUGGACGGAUACUGACGCUGAGACGCGAAAGCGUGGGUAGCAAACAGG